CUGAUUGAUUUUGGUCGCCAACGAGUGGCGGACGGGUGAGUAACACGUAGGUAACCUGCCCAGAAGCGGGGGACAACUUUUGGAAACAAAUGCUAAUACCGCAAAACACCGUUGUUCGCAUGAACAACGCUUAAAAGAUGGCUUCUCGCUAUCACUUCGGGAUGGACCGGCGGUGCAUUAGCUUGUUGGUGGGGUAAUGGCCUACCAAGGCGAUGAUGCAUAGCCAAGUUGAAAGACUGAUCGGCCACAAUGGGACUGAAACCCGGCCCAUACUCCUACGGGAGGCAGCAUUAGGGAAUCUUCCACAAGGGGCGCAAGCCUGAUGGAGCAACACCGCGUGAGUGAAAAAGGGUUUCGGCUCGUAAAGCUCUGUUGUUAAAAAAAAACACUUAUGAAAGUAACUGUUCAUACGUUGACGGUAUUUAACCAAAAAGUCACGGCUAACUACUUGCCACCAGCCGCGGUAAUACGUAGGUGGCAAGCGUUAUCCGGAUUUAUUGGGCGUAAAGAGAGUGCAGGCGGUUUUCUAAUUCUGAUGUGAAAGCCUUCGGCUUAACCGGA
rnacentral:rRNA from 1 species